AUGGAGAAGGACCAUAGGGACGGCGGCGAACGGAGGAGAAUCACGCCGGGAGAGUUGCAAUUGGUGGACCGAAGAGUUGCAAUCGACCACGCCGGGAGCUGCAACCAGCGAACGGAGGAGCUACAACGGGUGGGCGAGGAGGGAGGGAUAGGCAGAAGCGGCAAGGGGCGAGCAUCGCCGGCGACUGUCGACGGUGAUGGGACGAAACGCGCGCGCGAUGUAGAGGAGGGGGAGGGCGGCAACCAUGUCUUCCUCGUUUUUUUCUCAUAUUCAUGUGCUGCGCGAGAAAGACGACGAGGAACGAGCCCCAUCUAA
rnacentral:rRNA from 1 species